rnacentral:rRNA from 1 species
AUUGAACGCUGGCGGCAUGCCUUACACAUGCAAGUCGAACGGUAACAGGUCUUCGGAUGCUGACGAGUGGCGAACGGGUGAGUAAUACAUCGGAACGUGCCUAGUAGUGGGGGAUAACUACUCGAAAGAGUGGCUAAUACCGCAUGAGAUCUACGGAUGAAAGCAGGGGAUCGCAAGACCUUGUGCUACUAGAGCGGCCGAUGGCCGAUUAGGUAGUUGGUGGGAUAAAAGCUUACCAAGCCGACGAUCUGUAGCUGGUCUGAGAGGACGAGCAGCCACACUGGGACUGAGACACGGCCCAGAGUCCUGCGGGAGGAAGCAGUGGGGAAUUUUGGACAAUGGGCGAAAGCCUGAUCCAGCAAUGCCGCGUGCAGGAUGAAGGCCUUCGGGUUGUAAACUGCUUUUGUACGGAACGAAAAGCCCCGGGUUAAUACCCUGGGGUCAUGACGGUACCGUAAGAAUAAGCACCGGCUAACUACGUGCCAGCCGCCGCCGUAA